rnacentral:rRNA from 1 species
UACGUAGGAUGCAAGCGUUUGUCCGGAAUUAUUGGGCGUAAAGAGCGCGCAGGCGGUUUGCCAAGUCAGAUGUGAAAGAGGCCGGCUUAACCGGCAAGGGUCAUUUGAAACUGACAGACUAGAGUGCAGCAGAGGAUAGCGGAAUUCCCGGUGUAGUGGUGAAAUGCGUAGAUAUCGGGAGGAACACCAGUGGCGAAGGCGGCUAUCUGGGCUGCAACUGACGCUGAGGCGCGAAGGCUAGGGUAGCAAACAGG